rnacentral:lncRNA from 1 species
CAAACUUCUUCACAGCCUGCUGUAUACACAGAGGGAGAAGUGGAAGAAUAGCUGCAGCUUGAGAUCCACCCGGCAGAAGUCUUUCUGAGUCGUCAUGUGACACUCACACGGAUGCUAAGUACCGUUUUCAACCGCUUAAGAAGUGGAUGGGAUGCAUGCGGAAUAUCAGGCCAGCUGGGUUCGGGGUGAACUGCUUCCCUGGGUGCCUAUAAGGAGGGUAGCAUGAAGAAGUGCAUGGGAAGGCAGCAAUCCUUGGUCUGAAGAUCUGCUCUCCAAGCCUGGAUUUUAAACUUAUAAGCCAGG